UACGGAGGGUGCGAGCGUUGUCCGGAAUCACUGGGCGUAAAGGGCGCGUAGGCGGCCUGAUAAGUAGGGGGUGAAAUCCUGCGGCUUAACCGCAGGGCUGCCUUCUAAACUGUCAGGCUGGAGCACAGUAGAGGCAGGUGGAAUUCCCGGUGUAGCGGUGGAAUGCGUAGAGAUCGGGAAGAACAUCAGUGGCGAAGGCGGCCUGCUGGGCUGUUGCUGACGCUGAGGCGCGACAGCGUGGGGGAGCAAACAGGG
rnacentral:rRNA from 1 species